GGAUGAACGCUGGCGGCGUGCCUAACACAUGCAAGUCGAACGGAUGCCUUCGGGCAUUAGUGGCGCACGGGUGAGUAACACGUGGUUGACCUACCCCAAAGUAGGGGAUAACGUUCCGAAAGGAAUGCUAAUACCCUAUAAGCUCCCGUUAUUUAGAAGGACGGGAGAAAAGUUCCGGCGCUUUGGGAGGGGACUGCGAACCAUCAGCUAGUUGGUGUGGUAAAGGCGCACCAAGGCGACGACGGUUAGGGGACCUGAGAGGGUGGCCCCCCACACUGGAACUGAGACACGGUCCAGACUCCUACGGGAGGCAGCAGUGAGGAAUAUUGCACAAUGGGCGCAAGCCUGAUGCAGCGACGCCGCGUGGGUGAUGAAGGCUUUCGGGUCGUAAAGCCCUUUUCUAGAUGACGAGGAAGGACGGUAGUCUAGGAAUAAGUGUCGGCUAACUACGUGCCAGCAGCCGCGGUAAAACGUAGGACACAAGCGUUAUCCGGAGUUACUGGGCGUAAAGGGCGUGUAGGCGGACCUAUAAGUCUAUUCUGAAAGCUCCUGGCUAAACUGGGAGAGGCGAAUGGAGACUGUAGAUCUAGAGUAGGGAAGAGGAAAGUGGAAUUCCGCGUGUAGUGGUGAAAUGCGUAGAGAUGCGGAGGAACACCAGUGGCGAAAGCGACUUUCUGGUCCUUAACUGACGCUGAGGCGCGAAAGCAUGGGGAGCGAACGGGAUUAGAAACCCCGGUAGUCCAUGCCAUAAACGAUGUUCACUAAACGUUCGUUUCCCGCGAGGGAAGUGGGUGUUGAAGCUAACG
rnacentral:rRNA from 1 species